CAGAGCAAAGUAGCAAUCUGGAGCAGGUGGAAGAGGAUUAAGACUCUACUGGUGGAAUGUCUUCCUUGAGCUUUGCAUAGAGUAGAAGGUGGUUUUCACAUGGCAGCUAAACCAGAGACUAUACCAAGGGAAAAGGCAAGUAAAAGGCCAUCUAUGGUGAAGGAAGAAAUGAAAGAAGAGAGAGAAGAGAAUGUUGCUGUCAUGUUCACCUCCUCGGUCGACAAGUAGAAUAACAGGGCGCCUAGAUCGGGACUUGAAAGGGGUGCCGUUGAAGGCAUUGCAUGCGGUGGUGCUGUUCUUGUCAGGGAACUUGACCACACCCACCAUGGUGCCCCCGUAGUGCGGCACGCCGAAGUUGGCAAUGGCUGCAUCGUGCCUCCCCCUGAUUUGCUCUGGCCGGAUCACCCUCACGCUGUUCUUCUCGACCACAAACCGACCAGACACAGAGCUGAAGGCUGCUGCUGUCAGGGCCAUGGACACAGUUAGCCAUCGCCAGAGCCUCACCAUGGAUUCUCAGUUGAACCCAGAGAAGGAGAAGAAUUCUCUAAGAAUGAGGAGUGUUGGUGUGAGGCUGUUGGUUGAAGGUGUUUACAGACAGAGGUUGCUUAAUUUCUACUGCAUGUCAAUGUGCAAUCAUUUCGUGUUGUGAGGUAGGAGAUGGUAAGGAGAGUUGCUGAAGAACCAAUCACCAUGAAGAACGAGGGAGGUUGGUAAAAGGAGAGCUUAUCCCUACAUCUCAAUGUAAACUCAUCACCAGAAUCUGUAUUGUUCUGUCAAUAUAAUGUAAUAGAAACAUUAUUGGAUGAUGUUUUGCUGA